AAAGACUGAUAGGCAGACGCCGCGUGAAGGAAGAAGCCUUUCGGGGUGUAAAGUUCUUUUCUAUGGGAGCAGGGCACUGGUGGUUAACAGCG
rnacentral:rRNA from 1 species